UAGCGGAGAAAUUCCAAUCGAACUCGGAGAUAGCUGGUUCUCCUCGAAAUAGCUUUAGGGCUAGCCUUGUGUAGUAGUAUAUGGGGGUAGAGCACUGACUGAGGUAGGGGCCUAACCAGGUUACCAAACUCUAUCAAACUCCGAAUACCGUAUAUGUAAGCACAGGAGUCAGACUGCGGGAGCUAAGUUCCGUGGUCAAAAGGGAAAGAGCCCAGAUCGUCAAUUAAGGUCCCAAAGAUAUAGCUAAGUGGCAAACGAUGUGAUUUUGCGUAAACAACCAGGAUGUUGGCUUAGAAGCAGCCAUACAUUUAAAGAGUGCGUAAUAGCUCACUGGUCGAGUGAAGUUGCGCGGAAAAUUACCGGGGCUAAGCUAUACACCGAAAUUGCGGAUUUACACUUGAAAGAUAGUGUAAGUGGUAGAGGAGCAUUCUGUAGUAGGGAGAAGCAAAAGCGAGAGCAUUUGUGGACGAGGCAGAAGAGAGAAUGCUGGAAUAAGUAGCGAGAGCAAGGUGAGAAUCCUUGCCGUCGAAAGUCUAAGGUUUCCUGGGGAAGGUUCGUCCGCCCAGGGUAAGUCGGGACCUAAGGUGAGGCUGAAAAGCGUAGCCGAUGGAUAGCAGGUUGAGAUUCCUGCACUAUAGAUAUACUUAAAAGAUGCAAGGGACGCAGGAGUGGAAGAUAAGCGAGGAAGAGGAAAGACUCGUAUCGCAAGAUAUAGUGAAAAUAAAGUAACGAAUUAUCAAGAAGCACACUGACGAGAAAAGCUUGUAGAUAUUGUAUAUAAAUACCCGUACCGCAAACCGACACAGGUAGAUGAGGAGAGGAUCCUAAGACGAGCGGGAGAAGCAUUGUUAAGGAACUCGGCAAAUUGACCCCGUAACUUAGGGAGAAGGGGUGCCAAGGUAGAACUUGGCCGCAGUGAAGAGGUUCAAGCAACUGUUUAACAAAAACACAGGUUUCUGCUAAAUCGAAAGAUGAAGUAUAGGAGCUGACGCCUGCCCAGUGCUGGAAGGUUAAGGGAAAGAGUUAGGAGUAAACCGAAGCUUAGAACUAAAGCCCCAGUGAACGGCGGCCGUAACUAUAACGGUCCUAAGGUAGCGAAAUUCCUUGUCAGGUAAGUUCUGACCCGCACGAAAGGCGUAAUGAUUUGGGAGCUGUCUCGACAAUGUACUCGGCGAAAUUGUAGUACUAGUGAAGAUGCUAGUUACCUGCGACAAGACAGAAAGACCCCAUGGAGCUUUACUGCAGCUUGAUACUGGGUUUUGGUAAUUUAUGUACAGGAUAGGUGGGAUACGAAGAAGCAAGUGCGCCAGCAUUUGUGGAGUAGACGUUGGGAUACCACUCUUAAAUUAUUGAAAUUCUAACCUGUGAUCAUGAACUGGUCAGGGGACAAUGUCAGGCGGGCAGUUUGACUGGGGCGGUCGCCUCCUAAAGAGUAACGGAGGCGCCCAAAGGUUUCCUCAGCACGGACAGAAAUCGUGCAAAAGAGUGCAAAGGCAGAAGGAAGCUUAACUGGGAGACUGACAAGUCGAGCAGAUACGAAAGUAGGGCUUAGUGAUCCGGCGGUAGUGAGUGGAAAUGCCGUCGCUCAACGGACAAAAGUUACCCUGGGGAUAACAGGCUUAUCUCCCCCAAGAGUUCACAUCGACGGGGAGGUUUGGCACCUCGAUGUCGGCUCAUCGCAUCCUGGAGCGGAAGUACGUUCCAAGGGUUGGGCUGUUCGCCCAUUAAAGCGGUACGCGAGCUGGGUUCAGAA
rnacentral:rRNA from 1 species